UACCUGUCCAAAACAGAACGACCCGCGAACAAACUAUCAUCACUUGCGGUGGGCCGGUUUCUUAGCAGAUCCCGUGUCCACCGAAUCCUUGGUUUCGCGUGCCCUUCCGAACGGGCGGUCGUGCGCGUAGCCGAUGGAUAUCACAACAACACGGCACGAAAAGUGUCAAGGAACAUGCAACCGAACGGCCAGCGUUCGCCUUCCCGGAGACGGUGCAAGCGCGAAUGCUGUGCUGCGAUCAAAAGUCUAAAACGACUCUCGGCAACGGAUAUCUCGGCUCUCGCAUCGAUGAAGAACGUAGCGAAAUGCGAUACUUGGUGUGAAUUGCAGAAUCCCGUGAACCAUCGAGUCUUUGAACGCAAGUUGCGCCCCAAGCCUUCUGGCCGAGGGCACGUCUGCCUGGGCGUCACAAAUCGUCGUCCCCCUCACAAAAUAUUGCGAGUGUGGGACGGAAGCUGGUCUCCCGUGUGUUACCGCACGCGGUUGACCAAAAUCUGAGCUGAGGAUGCUGGGAGCGUCCCGACAUGCGGUGGUGAUCUAAAGCCUCUUCAUAUUGCCGGUCGCUCCUCUCCGUAAGCUCUCGUUGACCCAAUGUCCUCAAAGCGACC
rnacentral:rRNA from 1 species